UACGGAGGGUGCAAGCGUUAUCCGGAUUUACUGGGUUUAAAGGGUGCGUAGGCGGGCCUUUAAGUCAGUGGUGAAAUCUCCGGGCUCAACCCGGAAACUGCCAUUGAUACUAUUAGUCUUGAAUUCUGUUGAGGUGGGCGGAAUACAUCAUGUAGCGGUGAAAUGCUUAGAUAUGAUGUAGAACACCGAUUGCGAAGGCAGCUCACUAAGCAGACAUUGACGCUGAGGCACGAAAGCGUGGGGAGCAAACAGG
rnacentral:rRNA from 1 species